UUCUCAUAACAAAAUUUUAGAAGAAAAGGAUAAAUUUAAGGACCCUGCAAAAGAUGUUUCUAGCCCAUCUUUAGAUAUCCCGACGGCAGUUAUCUUGAGCGACUCGAGUGGACAACUGUUUCAAGUUUUAAGACUUUGCGUCAAAAUUGUCCAGUGUAUUCCACUUCUGAUUUGGAAAUCAAACAAAUGGAUUCUUUUAGAUGAUGCCAUAUUGUCCAAAAAUGGCUUGAAUUCUGGUGAACUGAGCGACUUGAAUAAUGGGAUGCAGGUUCAUAAAACCCUCGUUCGCAUCCACAAUUUUUCUCUCUGGAUCAAUAUUUCCUUUCUCUAUAUCAAUUCUUUCACCAAGAGCCUAGGAAAAAUAGUGUACAACCUUUUGAACCAGAGUACCUGCAGCAGAAGCAAAAGAAGCACAGUGGCUCAGCCCUUUUUUUGCCAGAUCAAAUUGUUGGAUAGAGAGCUUUUCAGUGGCAACAAGAAGACACAACACAAAUUCC
rnacentral:lncRNA from 1 species